GAUGAAGAACGUAGCGAAAUGCGAUAAGUAAUGUGAAUUGCAGAAUUCAGUGAAUCAUCGAAUCUCUGAACGCACAUUGCGCCCGCCAGUAUUCUGGCGGGCAUGCCUGUUCGAGCGUCAUUACAACCCUCAGGCCCCCGGGCCUGGCGUUGGGGAUCGGCGGAAGCCCCCUGCGGGCACAACGCCGUCCCCCAAAUACAGUGGCGGUCCCGCCGCAGCUUCCAUUGCGUAGUAGCUAACACCUCGCAACUGGAGAGCGGCGCGGCCACGCCGUAAAACACCCAACUUCUGAAUGUUGACCUCGAAUCAGGUAGGAAUACCCGCUGAACUUAAGCAUAUCAAUAAGCGGAGGA
rnacentral:misc_RNA from 1 species